rnacentral:rRNA from 1 species
AUUGAACGCUGGCGGCAGGCCUAACACAUGCAAGUCGAACGAGUGGCGGACGGGUGAGUAAUGGCUGGGAAACUGACUGCAGGAGGGGGAUAACUAAUGGAAACGGUAGCUAAUACAGCAUACCAUCAGAUGUACCACGAUGGGAUUAGCUAGUGUGUGGGGUAACGGCUCACGAAGGCGACGAUCCCUAGUUGGUCUGAGAGGCUGACCAACCACACUGGAACUGAGACACGGUCCAGACUCCUACGUGAGGCAGCAGGGGGGAAUAUUGCACAAUGGGCGCAAGCCUGCUGCAGCCAUGCCGCGUGUAUGAAGAAGGCCUUCGGGUUGUAAAGUACUUUCAGCGGGGAGGCGUUACCCGCAGAAGAAGCACCGGCUAACUCCGUGCCAGCAGCCGCGGUAAUAC